rnacentral:rRNA from 1 species
CCCUUAGACGUUCUGGGCCGCACGCGCGCUACACUGACCAGUGCAACAAGCAUCCGUCCUUGGCCGACAGGGCCGGGCAAUCUUUGAACGCUGGUCGUGAUGGGGAUAGACUUUUGCAAUUUUUGGUCUUCAACGAGGAAUUCCUAGUAAACGCAAGUCAUCAACUUGCAUUGAUUACGUCCCUGCCCUUUGUACACACCGCCCGUCGCACCUACCGAUUGAAUGGUCCGGUGAAGCCUCCGGAUUGGCGCGCACCUCGGUGCCGCCGAGAAGUUGGCUAAACCUUACCAUUUAGAGGAAGGUGAAGUCGUAACA